rnacentral:rRNA from 1 species
AUUGAACGCUGGCGGCAGGCCUAACACAUGCAAGUCGAGCGAGCGGCGGACGGGGGAGUAAUGUCUGGGAAACUGCCUGAUGGAGGGGGGUAAAUACUGGAAACGGUAGCUCAUACCGCGUACGAUCAGAGGUGCGCAGAUGGGAUUAGCUAGUAGGUGGGGUAACGGCUCACCUAGGCGACGAUCCCUAGCUGGUCUGAGAGGAUGACCAGCCACACUGGAACUGAGACACGGUCCAGACUCCUACGGGAGGCAGCAGUGGGGAAUAUUGCACAAUGGGCGCAAGCCUGAUGCAGCCAUGCCGCGUGUGUGAAGAAGGCCUUCGGGUUGUAAAGCACUUUCAGCGGGGAGGCGUUACCCGCAGAAGAAGCACCGGCUAACUCCGUGCCAGCAGCCGCGGUAAUAC